UACGUAGGGGGCUAGCGUUGUCCGGAAUCAUUGGGCGUAAAGCGCGUGUAGGCGGUCCGGUAAGUCCGCUGUGAAAGUCGAGGGCUCAACCCUCGAAUGCCGGUGGAUACUGUCGGGCUUGAGUACGGGAGAGGCGAGUGGAAUUCCUGGUGUAGCGGUGAAAUGCGCAGAUAUCAGGAGGAACACCGAUUGCGAAGGCAGCUCGCUGGAACGUUACUGACGCUGAGACGCGAAAGCGUGGGGGAGCAAACAGGG
rnacentral:rRNA from 1 species